rnacentral:tRNA from 2 species
UCGUAGCUCAGCUGGAUAGAGUACCUGGCUACGAACCAGGCGGUCAGAGGUUCGAAUCCUCUCGAGCGCGCCA